AGUGAACGCUAGCGGUAGGCCUAACACAUGCAAGUCGAACGGCAGCACAGUAAGAGCUUGCUCUUACGGGUGGCGAGUGGCGGACGGGUGAGGAAUACAUCGGAAUCUACUUUUUCGUGGGGGAUAACGUAGGGAAACUUACGCUAAUACCGCAUACGACCUACGGGUGAAAGCAGGGGAUCUUCGGACCUUGCGCGAUUGAAUGAGCCGAUGUCGGAUUAGCUAGUUGGCGGGGUAAAGGCCCACCAAGGCGACGAUCCGUAGCUGGUCUGAGAGGAUGAUCAGCCACACUGGAACUGAGACACGGUCCAGACUCCUACGGGAGGCAGCAGUGGGGAAUAUUGGACAAUGGGCGCAAGCCUGAUCCAGCCAUACCGCGUGGGUGAAGAAGGCCUUCGGGUUGUAAAGCCCUUUUGUUGGGAAAGAAAAGCAGCAGGUUAAUACCCCGCUGUUCUGACGGUACCCAAAGAAUAAGCACCGGCUAACUUCG
rnacentral:rRNA from 1 species